rnacentral:rRNA from 1 species
GCGUUAAGUUGCAGGGUAUAGACCCGAAACCCGGUGAUCUAGCCAUGGGCAGGUUGAAGGUUGGGUAACACUAACUGGAGGACCGAACCGACUAAUGUUGAAAAAUUAGCGGAUGACCUGUGGCUGGGGGUGAAAGGCCAAUCAAACCGGGAGAUAGCUGGUUCUCCCCGAAAGCUAUUUAGGUAGCGCCUCGUGAAUUCAUCUCCGGGGGUAGAGCACUGUUUCGGCUAGGGGGCCAUCCCGGCUUACCAACCCGAUGCAAACUGCGAAUACCGGAGAAUGUUAUCACGGGAGACACACGGCGGGUGCUAACGUCCGUCGUGAAGAGGGAAACAACCCAGACCGCCAGCUAAGGUCCCAAAGUCAUGGUUAAGUGGGAAACGAUGUGGGAAGGCCCAGACAGCCAGGAUGUUGGCUUAGAAGCAGCCAUCAUUUAAAGAAAGCGUAAUAGCUCACUGGUCGAGUCGGCCUGCGCGGAAGAUGUAACGGGGCUAAACCAUGCACCGAAGCUGCGGCAGCGAACGUAUCACCCAAGACAACUUUACGGAGUUGACGAUUGACGGAGCGAAGCGACGUCAAAGCGUUCAUUAAAGUCGAGUUGGCUUAGGGAUACGUUCGUUGGGUAGGGGAGCGUUCUGUAAGCCUGUGAAGGUGUGUCGUGAGGCAUGCUGGAGGUAUCAGAAGUGCGAAUGCUGACAUAAGUAACGAUAAAGCGGGUGAAAAGCCCGCUCGCCGGAAGACCAAGGGUUCCUGUCCAACGUUAAUCGGGGCAGGGUGAGUCGACCCCUAAGGCGAGGCCGAAAGGCGUAGUCGAUGGGAAACGGGUUAAUAUUCCCGUACUUGGUGUUACUGCGAAGGGGGGACGGAGAAGGCUAUGUUGGCCGGGCGACGGUUGUCCCGGUUUAAGCGUGUAGGUGUGUGUUCCAGGUAAAUCCGGUUCACUUUAACACUGAGGCGUGACGACGAGGCACUACGGUGCUGAAGCAACAAAUGCCCUGCUUCCAGGAAAAGCCUCUAAGCAUCAGGUAACAUCAAAUCGUACCCCAAACCGACACAGGUGGUCAGGUAGAGAAUACCAAGGCGCUUGAGAGAACUCGGGUGAAGGAACUAGGCAAAAUGGUGCCGUAACUUCGGGAGAAGGCACGCUGACACGUAGGUGAAGUGAUUUACUCAUGGAGCUGAAGUCAGUCGAAGAUACCAGCUGGCUGCAACUGUUUAUUAAAAACACAGCACUGUGCAAACACGAAAGUGGACGUAUACGGUGUGACGCCUGCCCGGUGCCGGAAGGUUAAUUGAUGGGGUCAGCGCAAGCGAAGCUCCUGAUCGAAGCCCCGGUAAACGGCGGCCGUAACUAUAACGGUCCUAAGGUAGCGAAAUUCCUUGUCGGGUAAGUUCCGACCUGCACGAAUGGCGUAAUGAUGGCCAGGCUGUCUCCACCCGAGACUCAGUGAAAUUGAACUCGCUGUGAAGAUGCAGUGUACCCGCGGCAAGACGGAAAGACCCCGUGAACCUUUACUAUAGCUUGACACUGAACAUUGAGCCUUGAUGUGUAGGAUAGGUGGGAGGCUUUGAAGUGUGGACGCCAGUCUGCAUGGAGCCGACCUUGAAAUACCACCCUUUAAUGUUUGAUGUUCUAACGUGGACCCGUAAUCCGGGUUGCGGACAGUGUCUGGUGGGUAGUUUGACUGGGGCGGUCUCCUCCUAAAGAGUAACGGAGGAGCACGAAGGUUGGCUAAUCCUGGUCGGACAUCAGGAGGUUAGUGCAAUGGCAUAAGCCAGCUUGACUGCGAGCGUGACGGCGCGAGCAGGUGCGAAAGCAGGUCAUAGUGAUCCGGUGGUUCUGAAUGGAAGGGCCAUCGCUCAACGGAUAAAAGGUACUCCGGGGAUAACAGGCUGAUACCGCCCAAGAGUUCAUAUCGACGGCGGUGUUUGGCACCUCGAUGUCGGCUCAUCACAUCCUGGGGCUGAAGUAGGUCCCAAGGGUAUGGCUGUUCGCCAUUUAAAGUGGUACGCGAGCUGGGUUUAGAACGUCGUGAGACAGUUCGGUCCCUAUCUGCCGUGGGCGCUGGAGAACUGAGGGGGGCUGCUCCUAGUACGAGAGGACCGGAGUGGACGCAUCACUGGUGUUCGGGUUGUCAUGCCAAUGGCACUGCCCGGUAGCUAAAUGCGGAAGAGAUAAGUGCUGAAAGCAUCUAAGCACGAAACUUGCCCCGAGAUGAGUUCU